CUGAAGAGGUUGCCGAACCUAUCAGUACCCGGGGUCAGACAGUGCGGUGUCGACCAUCCCCGGCGAAAGGACGUUCGGCCGAAACGGUCCGGCCCCGCAUAGCCGGCUCGUUGGGUCCGGGUCGAACAGGUCCGGGACUGUCGCAACCCGAUGUUGCGGAGCGCUAUGU
rnacentral:ncRNA from 1 species